AAUGAACGUUGGCGGCAUGGAUUAGGCAUGCAAGUCGAGCGGGCGUAGCAAUACGUCAGCGGCGUAAGGGACAGGAACACGUAGAUUACCUGCACUCGGGUCUGGGAUAGCCACGGGAAACUGUGGGUAAUACCAGAUGAUAUCUCCGGAUCAAAGGUGUGAUUCCGCCCGAGGAUGGGUCUGCGUCCUAUUAGCUAGUUGGCGAGGUAAUGGCUCACCAAGGCGAUGAUGGGUAGCAGGUGUGAGAGCACGACAUGCGUCAUUGGGACUGAGACACUGCCCAAACACCUAUGGGUGGCUGCAGUCGAGAAUUUUUGGCAAUGGGCGAAAGCCUGACCAAGCGAUGCCGCGUGCGGGAUGAAGGCCUUCGGGUUGUAAACCGCUGUCAGUGGGGAGGAAAGCUUUGCGAAGAGCAAGGCUUGACCUAUCCGCAGAGGAAGUGUGGGCUAAGUUCGUGCCAGCCGCCGCAGUAACAC
rnacentral:rRNA from 1 species